rnacentral:ncRNA from 1 species
UACAUCGUGAGGUGUGGGCUGAAGGAAGUUGCUAGCAUCUAUCUGAACCUACGAACAGAAACUGCAUAUGAGGCAAUAUGUGUAUCAAGGUAAGUCUGCGAAAGAAGAUGAAGCCCGAUACUGAACCGUAGCACAUAAUGUAAAUGCAGAGGUUGCAUGGAUAGAGAGAAUUAUCUC